rnacentral:rRNA from 1 species
UAUUGUAAAUAGAGUUUGAUCGGGGGUCAGGACGAGCUCUGGCGGCGUGCCUGAUACAUGGAAGUCGAACGAACGGAGGAAGAGCUUGCUCUUCCGAAGUUGGUGGCGGACGGGUGAGUAACACGUGGGGAACCUGCCUGUAAGUUGGGGAUAACUCAGGGAAUCCGGGGCUAAUACCGAAUGAGAAAGUGUGGCGCAGGCCACGCUGUUGAAAGAUGGUUUCGGAUAGCGCUUACAGAUGGGGCAGCGGUGCAUUAGCUAGUUGGUAGGGUAAUGGCC